AUAUUCAUCCUGAGACACACGACUGCAUAUAAAUACAUGUUUAAUAAAACUCACAUCCCCACUCAAAAUGAGAAAAUUAGAAAAGGAGGAUGGAGGACGA
rnacentral:lncRNA from 1 species